rnacentral:rRNA from 1 species
ACGGCUCAGUAACACGUGGAUAACCUGCCCUUGGGUCUGGGAUAACCCCGGGAAACUGGGGAUAAUACCGGAUAACGCAUAUAUGCUGGAAUGCUUUAUGCGUAAAAUGGAUUCGUCUGCCCAAGGAUGGGUCUGCGGCCUAUCAGGUAGUAGUGGGUGUAAUGUACCUACUAGCCUACAACGGGUACGGGUUGUGAGAGCAAGAGCCCGGAGAUGGAUUCUGAGACAUGAAUCCAGGCCCUACGGGGCGCAGCAGGCGCGAAAACUUUACAAUGCGGGAAACCGUGAUAAGGGGACACCGAGUGCCAGCAUCAUAUGCUGGCUGUCCAGAUGUGUAAAAUACAUCUGUUAGCAAGGGCCGGGCAAGACCGGUGCCAGCCGCCGCGGUAACACCGGCGGCCCGAGUGGUGAUCGUGAUUAUUGGGUCUAAAGGGUCCGUAGCCGGUUUGGUCAGUCCUCCGGGAAAUCUGAUGGCUCAACCAUUAGGCUUUCGGGGGAUACUGCCAGGCUUGGAACCGGGAGAGGUAAGAGGUACUACAGGGGUAGGAGUGAAAUCUUGUAAUCCCUGUGAGACCACCUGUGGCGAAGGCGUCUUACCAGAACGGGUUCGACGGUGAGGGACGAAAGCUGGGGGCACGAACCGGAUUAGAUACCCGGGUAGUCCCAGCCGUAAACGAUGCUCGCUAGGUGUCAGGCAUGGCGCGACCGUGUCUGGUGCCGCAGGGAAGCCGUGAAGCGAGCCACCUGGGAAGUACGGCCGCAAGGCUGAAACUUAAAGGAAUUGGCGGGGGAG